UCUUUGAUAGCUCAGUUGGUAGAGCGGAGGACUAGAGGUACUUAUAAUAGUCAUUCUUAGGUUGCUGAUUCAAAUCUGGCUUGAAGCA